AAGGUUCCCGUCUUCAGUGCAGGUUGCAGGCGGGAACCGGCCUCGUCCCAGCCCUGGGCCUGGGAGAGAGAAGGAGGCCGAAGAAAACCAACUUCGGCAACCUCCGGAGACAGGACGUUUAAAAAAGGCUAACUUGGCUGGGCGCUGAGGCUCACGCCUGUAAUCCCAGCACUUUGGGAGGCCGAGGCAGGAGGAUCACUUGAGCUCAGGAACCAGCCUGGGCAACAUGGCGAGACCCCAUGUCUACAAAAAAAAAAAAAAAAAAAUUAGCCAGUCAUGGUGGUGCGCGCCUGCAGUCCCAGCUACCCCGGAGGCCGACGCGGGAGGAUCGCUGGAGCCGAAAGGUCGAGGCUGCCGUGAGCCGAGGUUGCACCACUGCACUCCAGCCUGGGCGACAGCGCAAGACCCUGUCUAAAAAUAAAUUUAAAAAAAAUUGCGAGGCCUUCAUUCUAUGCUAGUACUGUACUAGGUGCUAAUUAUUAAGUAAAACCGACUGAACUCUUGCCCUCAUGGAGCUUACAGUUCAGUGGAGAAGACAUUACCUAAAGCAGUAUGACUAAAUAUAUAAUGACAUAUUGUAAUAACUUACAUAACAGUACAAUGAGAGGGUGGGGAGGGAUUAUUUAUGCUUUAAGAAGUCGGGAAUCCUGGAACGGAAUGACAUUAGACUGAGACACGGAAGAGCCGCAGGAUCUAUUGCUGGGGAAGAGCAUUCCAGACAGGGAGGAACUCGUGCCGAAUGAUCCCGCUGUGGACAGGGAAUUUAAUCUGAGCUUCGGUUUCCUCUUCUGUCAAAUGUCAUGCAAGAGUUACUUUCAGCCGUGGUCCAGGCACUGUGAAAAAUGCAGAAGCCACACUAGGUGCCCUCUCUCAGGAUUCCCAACCACCUUUACCAAGCAGAGAUGGUAUUCAUCCCACAUUUUUAAUGCUAGAUAUGCUCCCGCCCGGUGCUUCUCUAAUAAUGUUUUUUAAAAGGUUGAGAGCAGAAUUUUAAUAGGCAAAAGAAAGAGAAGAGCUCUCUGCUGCAGACAGGAGUCCUGGAGAAAUGGGUUGCCCUCUUUUUUCUUUUUCUUUUUUUGAGACAGUCUCUCACUGUCACCCAGGCUGGAAUUCAGUGGCGCAUUCGUACCUCGCUGCAGCCUCAACCUCCUAGGCUCAAUCGAUCCUCCCACCUCAGCCUCCCGAGUAGCUGGGACUAU
rnacentral:lncRNA from 1 species